ACUCCCCUUUUCCUUUAGUGGAUCAGGAGAGCGGCGGAGGGGCUGAUCCCGGAGAUCCGGCUGCAAAGUGGGGUCCCCCCCCCACAAGUUCAACAUCCUCCCCUCCCCCACCCCACGAGCUUAGAUCCCUCCGUGUUUUAGGUCUUGGUGCUGUUCAAACCAGGAAUGGAGGGGGGCAGCUAAACGACUCCCCCCAAAUCCCAGCUCCCCACCCCAGCCUCUGACUAAGGCCAGGACAAUGACCGUGGACACAGGCACCGUCCAUGCACAACAGCCAAGAGGCUCAGCAAAGCAGCCGAUACAAUUGGAGCCAGAAGCGGAUUCCAAAAUCUGAGGGAUCCCUUGGACCAGAAACAAGGAGACCAGCCAGGAAGAGCAGAGCAAAAGAGCAGCCAGUCGGCUUGGUCUUGAUUGAAGACUGUCGCGACAGGACUCCCAGCUGCCACCAGGUGGAACAAGAUGGAAGCCCCCAACAAAAGAAGACCCCAACUUUUAUUAGCUCCGAAUCCCCCAUGCUACACCCCCAAGACUACAUCAUGACUACAUCAUGAUUACAUCAUUGACACAUCACAAAGAGGAGGGGUUCAGGGAGAAGAAGAAGAAGAGUUUGGAUUUGAUAUCCCACUUUAUCACUACCCAAAGGAGUCUCAAAGCAGCCAACUUUCUCCUUUCCCUUCCUCUCCCACAACAAACACUCUGUGAGGUGAGUGGGGCUGAGAGACCUCAGAGACGUGUGACUUCUCUGAAGGAGGAGGAGUUGUGGUGGUAACCUGAGGGUCUUGUCACCUGUCUGGUUCCUCCUUUCCCCUCCCCGUGAUUACAUUCCUGAGGGCAAAGGGGAGUUCACUGUUUCCUGCCCCAGAGGGAAGGGCUGGUCAGUGUCCUGUGUUUCAGUCCGUACUGAAUCCACUUCCAUAUGCAGGUGCUUUGUGAAUGGAAUGAUCUUCUGUCUAGGACCAUCAAGGUUGGCAUGCCAACUGGGUGGGGCUCACUGCGGACGUGUUGGCUGCCUUGUGUCAAGUCUCCCCCCUUUGAUAGUCCUUCCCUCAUGGUGCAAAUUAAAAGUCGAACGGUGCAGAUCCGAUGUACGGCUGAUUUUCUAUGAAUUUAUAACAGAAGUGUUGCCUAUGUCGUGUGUGAGUGUCGUGUUUGUACAAACUGAAUGAUUGCAACAUAUGAAUCCCAAUCCCAAAGAAGGGCAGUGCCAAAGAAUGCUCCACCUACCGUACAAUUGCACUCAUUUCACACGCUAGCAAGGUUAUGCUUAAAAUGCUAGAAGGAAGGCUCAAGCAGUAUGUGGACUGAGAACUCCCAGAAGUGCAAGCUGGAUUUAGAAGAGGCAGAGGAACCAGAGACCAAAUUGCAAACAUGUGCUGGAUUAUGGAGAAAGCUAGAGAGUUCCAGAAAGACAUCUACUUCUGCUUCAUUUAGUAUGCAAAAGCCUUUGACUGUGUGGACCACAGCAAACUAUGGCAAGUUCUUAAAGAAAUGGGAGUGCCUGAUCACCUCAUCUGUCUCCUAAGAAAUCUCUUUGUGGGACAAGAAGCUCCAGUUAGAACUGGACAUGGAACAACUGAUUGGUUCAAAAUUGGGAAAGGAGGACGACAAUACUGUCUUCCUGCUUAUUUAACAUAAAUGCAGAAUUCAUCAUGCAAAAGGCUGGGCUGGAUGAAUCAUGUAAUAAAAAAUUUAAGGUCUUGUAUAUAUAAUAAAUGUUCAUAAAUGUACCAACCAGACUACCAGGAAAGGGAAUCAGAUAAGGCAUUAUCAGAUAACCUGGCAGACAGGAAAAAUGACAACAUUCAAAUUUCUGUUGCAGACCACCUUUUCUGUGAUGCAGGUAUGAUAUUUGUGGGGGGUGGUCUGGGGUUACACCCCUUCUGUGAUGUAUGGAGGGGUCUGGAGCUCCAGGGCUUGAGCUCCCAUUCAAUUUCAGUAUUUCAAGUUUUCUUCAGAACGCGCAGGGCAGGAGGCAGCGAUGAAGUUCUGGUGAAGAAGCCGUGCUGGGAGAUCAUGCAGGGGUGUGUGUGUGUGUGACAGAGUUUGGUGCAAAAACCAAAGGUACUUUCAUCUAAAAUUAUACUCACUAUUGUGAGAUGUUCCCUUCAUUAUUUCAUUAUUAUACAGUUUUACAUAUAAACACCAGAACUUCACAUAUGCCUCAUGCUUUUAAAGUGCCCUUUCCCUGCGCCCUUUCCCUUUCCCUGGGUAGACCGGAGGAGCUAGUAGCAUAUUUUAUGAAUGAACAGACUAUUUGCCUACGGCGGUGUCCUGACCAAUCAGCCUGCACCGAGCGCAGCCUCCAGCCAAUCAAGACAAUGCAUUUGGUCUGCAGUGUCAGCUCUUGCAGGCCUCCUUUACCUUCUGACAAGCUGUUGACAGCUCCCUGCUCUGAGAAGAAUGAACUGACACCUUGUAUCCUUGCUAAUCCCGUCAAAAUUGAUAUUGUAUCAAUUCGUUUCCAAAAUGAGCUGCCUCUGUUUUAAAGGGCU